UGCGCAGGCGGACCUAUUAGUCAGUGAUGAAAUCCCGGGGCUCAACUCCGGAACUGCCAUUGAUACUGUAGGUCUUGAGUUUGGUUGAAGUGGGCGGAAUGUAGCAUGUAGCGGUGAAAUGCAUAGAUAUGCUACAGAACACCGAUCGCGAAGGCAGCUCACUAAACCAAAACUGACGCUCAGGCACGAAAGCGUGGGUAGCGAACAGGAAUAGAUACCCUGGUAGUCC
rnacentral:rRNA from 1 species